CAUCCACCGAUGCAAAAGGGUCUGGACCCAGACCAUCCAAGCCCUGAACCGGACCUCUGAGCUGAACCGCCGGUUUGCUGACCGCAGGCGAGUCCCUGCCCCCUCCUAUCACCCCGGUCAGCGGGUCUGGUUAUCUACUCGAAACCUCCCGUCCAGAUCUUCCCAUCGGAAGUUAUUACCACGUUUCACUGGCCCCUAUGAGAUUGUCUCCGUCCUCAGCCCGACGACCGUCCGCCUCCGUCUCCCGUCCCAUUCCAGGACCCACCCUACCUUCCAUGUCUCCCAAAUCAAGCCCGUCCUCUCUAGCCCGUUUUGCCCUCCGGCCGAACCCCCUCCACCCACCCUCGACCACCUGGGACGUCAGGUCCAAAGGGUCGUGGCCUCCCGUCGGCGUGGUAGAGGGUAUCAAUACCUCGUCGACUGGGUGGGCUGCGGUCCGGAGGAACGUUCCUGGGUUUCUGGUUCCUCCCUCCCUGACAGGUCGUUGGUGGACUCUUUCCUCUCCUCUUCCUCGAGGUCGCCGGGUGGCGACCAUUGAGGGGGGGGUGGUGUCAGGACUCAGCCGACAGGGCCGUGCAGUUUCUGCCGGUUCUGCUUCUUUCUGCUUUCUCCGCAGGUGUUUGCAGUUGACAGGUGGGCAGGGCGCACACACCUGUGGCUGGUUGAGCUGCGUCUGAUCGCACUAUAAGAGCAGCAUCCAGACAGCAGGAGGACGCCAGAGUGUUAACCGUAGUGGUUACCUCUCGAUCGCCUUUCAGAGGGUCCCACUCGUGCUGACUCCAGGGUCUGAGUUCCCACAGGGUCCUCCCUUUCUCCUGGCUCAAAGCAAGGUGCUUCGAGCCACUCUGGUUUCUCCUGCUGCCCCGGAUCAUUAAGUAAGCGCAGCUCUGUCACCCUCAAGCCCGAGCCUCACCUGUCACUGAGACACCUGCCACCAGCUCCAUCGAUCAGAGCCUGAGUCCGCUCCGUCCUCCCCCGGUUAGGUUGCUGCGUCCGGUGAAGUCGAACGGGUCCCGGUGCUGUGGCUUCCCCGUCGACUCCGUUGCUUCCAUUUUCUCUCUAUCAAUAAACAGUUAAC